UGGGAUUAUUAGAAGACGCGGAUAGGUUGCACGUGCAGGUUGCACGUUGCUAAAUUGCUACCAAUUGCUUCGACAUUAUAGAGUUUAUAGAUAUGCUGCGGUAGGACCAUGGCCGUGAAUUAUUUAAUGGGAUCGAUUAGCUCGCUUAAGAAUGGGUACUACCAAUUGCUGGGUUCUGGACAUGGUAGAAUAGUCUUUGCAUACUUUUGUUUUCCUAGUUGUUAUACCCGGAAUACAUAUAAAAGUUUGCAGUACAAGAGGUACGUAGACAGAGCUUUCACUUUAUGCAAAAUCUCUGUCCCAGGUUGAGUCGAGAGCGUCUGACUCCCCUUUUUGGAAGGGUUUGUUGAGGGUGAGACCAUUUUUUCCCCUCAUGUUUCGUUUACUGUCAACUGUGGUUUGGCUGUGAACUUUUGGAAAGAUAGGUGGUUGCGGCACAUUUCUCUCAAGGACCAGUUUUCCUCUUUUCAUAGGAUUGCGUUGAAUCAUCAGGCUUUUGUUGCAGAGGUGAUGACGACUGUGCCUCCAAAUAUUGUCUUUAUGAGGAAUAUUGUUAGGGCGAAAUUAUUUGUUUGGGAGGAGCCGUGUGCAAAGCUUGCUACAGUUCAGCUUGUUGACCAAGCAGAUUCUUUUUUCUGGGUGUUGUCUUCUUCGGGAUCGUACUCCGUGAACUCUUUUUAUCAAUUCAUGAUUAAUACCGAUUCUCAGUUUCGCCAUAAAAUUAUUUGAAAACUUAAGAUGCCUCUCAAGAUUAAAAUAUUUGCAUGGCUCCUAUGCCGAGGGAUUGUACUCACUAAGGAUAACUUGGAUAAAAAAAAUUGGCUUGUUGCAAAAGGUGUGUGUCUUUUGUGAUCAAAAUGAAACUAUUCAUCACCUUUUUUCGAUUGUCCUGUGGCGCGCUUGGUGUGGAGAGUUGUCUUUGUGACUUUUAAUCCACCACCACCAACUUUCAUCUCGAAUAUGUUUGGUCGUUGACUCCUUGGGAUGGAGAAAUCUCUCAAAUCGCUCAUUCUUGUUGGGUCUUGUGCGAUUUGUUGGUUUAUUUGGAAUUGUCGGAAUGACCUUGUUUUUAACAGAAAGACAGUUUCCAAUUUUUUGCAGAUGAUCUGUCGGGCGGCGUACUGGCUCCGUACUUGGUCCCCACUGCUUCCGACCGGGGCCAAGAAUUUUAUGGAUUUUGGGUGCAGCCGUAUGGAGACGGUAGCACGGGCUUUCUACAGCCAGUUUGGGUGGCGCGUUGAGCGUAGGCUGGAUAAUGGAUGAUCUUUUCAGGAAAGCAAAAUUUUGGGAUGUCUGUAAUGUGCUCAAGCUUCGAAUCUACAUCAUAAUUGGGUGCCAAGAGUGGACUCUCUCAAAAUUACUGAUACUUCGCAAGAUCCUUCUGCCGCAAACUUGAGAAGAUGACAGGCAAAUAAGUUUAUUCCUCCUGCAGGGUGUUGUACUCGUAUAGUCGUAUACAAUCUUUAAGCUGGUAUUGUGGUCUUGACUGUCGUGAUCGAGCCGAUGGAAUCUGGUGCGAGGAGGAAGGAAAUCCUAUACGACCCAGUGGCGCUGGACCCAACCAUGAACCAGUCCCCGAUCGCUGGAUCUGCCGAUCAAAUCGUAAAACAAACCAGACUCCGGAUCCUAACUGAUUCGUUCCUGAUCGAACGGCUCAUGGCUGGUUCCAGCGGCGGGUCGCACAACUGCAGGUCGUAUAGGAUUUUUUCCGGGAAGGAAAUCCUAUACGACCCAGUGGAGAUGCCGAGAUUGGAGCGGCUAACCACCUUGUCUAGGGAUCUUCUGCCGUGCUAUCCCCAGUUCCGGUGACAAG